rnacentral:rRNA from 1 species
AAGCUGGCGGCGUGCUUAACACAUGCAAGUCGAACGGUGAACACGGAGCUUGCUCUGUGGGAUCAGUGGCGAACGGGUGAGUAACACGUGAGCAACCUGCCCCUGACUCUGGGAUAAGCGCUGGAAACGGCGUCUAAUACUGGAUAUGUGACGUGAUCGCAUGGUCUGCGUCUGGAAAGAAUUUCGGUUGGGGAUGGGCUCGCGGCCUAUCAGCUUGUUGGUGAGGUAAUGGCUCACCAAGGCGUCGACGGGUAGCCGGCCUGAGAGGGUGACCGGCCACACUGGGACUGAGACACGGCCCAGACUCCUACGGGAGGCAGCAGUGGGGAAUAUUGCACAAUGGGCGCAAGCCUGAUGCAGCAACGCCGCGUGAGGGACGACGGCCUUCGGGUUGUAAACCUCUUUUAGCAGGGAAGAAGCGAAAGUGACGGUACCUGCAGAAAAAGCGCCGGCUAACUACGUGCCAGCAGCCGCGGUAAUACGUAGGGCGCAAGCGUUAUCCGGAAUUAUUGGGCGUAAAGAGCUCGUAGGCGGUUUGUCGCGUCUGCUGUGAAAUCCGGAGGCUCAACCUCCGGCCUGCAGUGGGUACGGGCAGACUAGAGUGCGGUAGGGGAGAUUGGAAUUCCUGGUGUAGCGGUGGAAUGCGCAGAUAUCAGGAGGAACACCGAUGGCGAAGGCAGAUCUCUGGGCCGUAACUGACGCUGAGGAGCGAAAGGGUGGGGAGCAAACAGGCUUAGAUACCCUGGUAGUCCACCCCGUAAACGUUGGGAACUAGUUGUGGGGUCCAUUCCACGGAUUCCGUGACGCAGCUAACGCAUUAAGUUCCCCGCCUGGGGAGUACGGCCGCAAGGCUAAAACUCAAAGGAAUUGACGGGGACCCGCACAAGCGGCGGAGCAUGCGGGAUUAAUUCGAUGCAACGCGAAGAACCUUUACCAAGGCUUGACAUAUACGAGAACGGGCCCAGAAAUGGGUCAACUCUUUGGACACUCGUAAAACNNUGNGCAUGAUUGUCGUCAGCUCGUGUCGUGAGAUNNNGNNNAGNNNCGCAACGAGCGCNNCCCUCGNNUAUGNNNAGCACGUUAUUGGNGGNNCUCAUGGNNACUGGCGNNNCACUCGNNGANNGGNNGAACGUCAAUNAUCAUGNCNNA